GACGAACCGUGCGAACGUUAUUCGGAAUCACUGGGCUUAAAGCGCGUGUAGGCGGGACGGCACGUCGGUCGUUGAAAUCCCCCGGCUCAACCGGGGAACGGGCGCCGAUACGACCGUCCUGGAGGGACGUAGGGGGACCUGGAACUUCCGGUGGAGCGGUGAAAUGCGUUGAGAUCGGAAGGAACGCGCGUGGCGAAAGCGAGGUCCUGGACGUUUUCUGACGCUGAGACGCGAAAGCCAGGGGAGCGAACGGG
rnacentral:rRNA from 1 species